GAUGAACGCUGACAGAAUGCUUAACACAUGCAAGUCAACUGUGGCGGACGGGUGAGUAACGCGUAAAGAACUUGCCUCACAGUUAGGGACAACAUUUGGAAACGAAUGCUAAUACCUGAUACUGUGGGAGAGCUUUGCGUCCCAUUAGCUAGUAGGAGAGGUAACGGCUGACCAAGGCGAGGAUGGGUAGCCGGCCUGAGAGGGGGCUCGGCCACAAGGGGACUGGGACGCGGCCCUUGCGCCUUCGUGAGGCAUGAGUGGGGAAUAUUUGACGAUGGGCCGACGUCUGAUCCAGCAAUUCUGUGUGCAAAAUUAUGUUUUCGGGAUGUACAGUGCUUUCAGUUGGGAAGCGGUACCAACAUAAGAAGUGACGGCUAAAUACGUGCCAGCAGCCGCGGUAAUAC
rnacentral:rRNA from 1 species